UUUAUGGCUGUAGGUCUUACGUUUAAGUAUUUAAUCCAUCUUUAGUUAAUUUUUGUAAAAGGUGUAAAGAGGGGGUCUAGUUUCAGUUUUCUGCAUAUGGCUAGCCAGUUUUCCCAACACCAUUUAUUAAAUAGGGAGUCCUUUCCCAUUACUUGUUUUCAUCAGGUUUGUAAAAGAUCAAAUAGUUGCAGAUGUGUGGCAUUAUUUCUGAGGCCUCUGUUCUGUUCCAUUGGUCUAUAUAUCUGUUUUGGUACCAGUACUAUGCUGUUUUGGUUACUGUAGCCUUGUAGUAUAGUUUGAAGUCAGGUAGCAUGAUGCUUCCAGUUUUGUUCUUUUUGCUUAGGAUUAUCUUGGCUAGCUGGGCUCUUUCUUUGGUUCCAUAUGAAAUUUAAGGUAGUUUUUUCUAAUUCUGUGAAGAAAGUCAAAGGUAGCUUGAUGGGGAUAGCAUUGAAUCUAUAAAUUACUUUCAGCAGUAUGGCCAUUUUCAUGAUAUUGCGUCUUUCUGUCCAUGAGCAUGGAAUGUUUUUCCAUUUGUUUGUGUCCUCUCUUAUUUCCUUGAGCAGUGGUUCGUAGUUCUCCUUGAAGAGGUGGUCCUUUAUAUCCCUUGUUAGUUGUAUUCCUAGGUAUUUUAUUCUCUUUGUAGCAAUUGUGAAUGGGAGUUCACUCAUGAUUUGGCUCUCUGUCUAUUAUUGGUGUAUAGGAAUGCUUGUGAUUUUUGCACAUUGGUUUUGUAUCCUGAGACUUUGCUGAAGUUGCUUGUCAGCUCAAGGAGAUUUUGGGCUGAGACAAUGGGGUUUUCUAAAUAUGCAAUCAUAUUAUCUGCAAACAGAGACAAUUUGACUUCCCCUCUUCCUAUUUGAAUACCCUUUAUUUCUUUAUCUUGCCUGAUUUCCCUGGCCAGAACUUCCAAUACUGUGUUGAAUAGGACUGGUGAGAAAGGGCAUCCUUGUCUUGUGCUGGUUUUCAAAAGGAAUGCUUCCAGCUUUUGCUCAUUCAGUAUGAUAUUGGCUGUGGGUUUGUCAUAAGUAGCUCUUAUUGUUUUGAGAUAAGUUCCAUCAAUACCUAGCUUAUUGAGUGUUUUUAGCAUGAAGGGGUGUUGAAUUUUAUUGAAGGCCUUUUCUGCAUCUAUUGAGAUAAUCAUGUGGUUUUUGUCAUUGGUUCUGUUUAUGUGAUGGAUUACGUUUAUUGAUUUUGUGUAUGUUGAACCAGCUUUUCAUCCCAGGAAUGAAGUUGACUUGAUCAUGGUGGAUAAGCUUUUUUAUGUGCUGCUGGAUUUGGUUUGCCAGCACUGUAUUGAGAAUUUUCGCAUCAAUGUUCAUCAAGGAUAUUGGCCUAAAAUUUUCUGUUUUUGUUUUGUCUCUGCCAGGUUUUGGUAUCAGAAUGAUGCUGGCCUCAUAAAAUGAGUUGGGGAGGAGUCCCUCUUUUUCUCUUGUUUGGAAUAGUUUCAGAAGGAAUGGUACCAGCUCCUCUUUGUACCUCUGGUAGAAUUUGUCUGUGAAUCCGUCUUGUCCUGGGCUUUUUUUGGUUGGCAGGCUAUUAAUUUCUGCCUCAAUUUCAGAACUUGUUAUUGGUCUAUUCAGGGAUUCAACUGGUUUAGUCUUGGGAGGGUGUGUGUUUCCAGGAAUUUAUCAAUUUCUUCUAGAUGUUUUAGUAUAUUUUCAUAGAGGUGUUUAUAGUAUUCUCUGAUGGUAGUUUGUAUUUCUGUGGGAUCAGUGGUGAUAUCCCCUUUAUCAUUUUUUAUUGUGUCUAUUUGAUUCUUCUCUCUUUCCUUCAUUAUUAGUCUUGCUAGAGGUCUAUCUAUUUUGUUAAUCUUUCCAAAAAACAGCUCCUGGAUUCACUGACUUUUUGUAGGAUUUCUCAUGUCUCUAUCUACUUCAGUUCUGCUCUGAUCUUACUUAUUUCUUGUUUUCUGCUAGUUUUGAAUUUGUUUGCCCUUGCUUCUCUAGUUCUUUUAAUUGUGAUGUUGGGGUGUUGAUUUUAGAUCUUUCCCGUUUUCUCCUGUGGGCAUUUAGUGCUAUAAAUUUCCCUCUAAAAACAUGCUUCAGCUGUGUCCCAGAGAUUCUGGUAUGUUGUGUCUUUGUUCUCAUUGGUUUCAAAGAACUAUUUAUUUCUGCCUUAAUUUCAUUAUUUACCCAGUAGUCAUUGAAGAGCAGGUUGUUCAGUUUCCAUGUAAUUGUGUGGUUUUGGGUGAGUUUCUUAAUCCUGAAUUCUAAUUUGAUUGCACCGUGGUCUGAGAGACUGUUUGUUAUGAUUUCCGUUUUUUUUUUUUUUUUUGCAUUUUCUGAUGAGUGUUUUACUUCCAAUUAUGUGAUCAAUUUUAGAAUAAGUGUGAUGUGGUGCUGAGAAGAAUGUGUAUUCUCUUGAUUUGGGGUGGAGAGUUCUGCAGAUGUCUAUUAGGUCCACUUGGUCCAGAGCUAAGUUUAAGUCCUGAAUAUCCUUGUUAAUUUUCUGUCUUGUUGAUCUAAUAUUGACAGUGGGGUGUUAGUCUCCCACUAUUAUUGUGUUGGAGUCUAAGUCUCUUUGUAGGUCUCUAAGAACUUGCUUUAUGAAUCUGGGUGCUCCUGUAUUGGGUGCAUAUAUACUUAGGAUAGUUAGCUCUUCUUGUUGAAUUGAUCCCUUUACCAUUAUGUAAUGCUCUUCUUUGUCUUUUUGGAUCUUUGUUGGUUUAAAGCCUGUUUUAUCAGAGACUAGGGUUGCAACCCCCCCCUUUUUUUUUGUUUUUUUGCUUGGUAAAUAUUUCUCCAUCCCUUUAUUUUGAGCCCAUGUGUGUCUUUGCAUGUGAGAUGGGUUUCCUGAAUACAGCACACUGAUGGGUUUUGACUCUUUAUGCAAUUUGCCAGUGUGUGUCUUUUAACUGGGGCAUUGAGUCCAUUUACAUUUAAGUUAAUAUUAUUAUGUGUGGAUUUGAUCCUGUCAUUAUGAUGCUAGCUGGUUAUUUUGCCCAUUAGUUGAUGCAGUUUCUUCAUAGUGUUGAUGGUCUUUACAAUUUGGUGUGUUUUUGCAGUGGCUGGUACCGGUUUUCCCUUUCCAUAUUUAGUGCUUCAUUCAGGAGCUCUUGUAAGGCAGACUUGGUUGUGACAAAAAUCUCUCAGCAUUUGCUUUUCUGUAAAGGAUUUUAUGUCUCCUUUUUUGAAGCUUAGUGUGGCUGGAUAUGAAAUUCUGGGUUGAAAAUUCUUUAAGAAUGUUGAAUAUUGGCCCCCACUCUGUCCUGGAUUGUAGCAUUUCUGAAGAGAGAUCCACUGUUAGUCUGAUGGGAUUCCCUUUUUGGGUAAUCCGACCUUCCCAUCUGGCUGCCCUUAACAUUUUUUCCCUCAUUUCUACCUUGUUGAAUCUGAUGAUUAUGUGUCUUGGGGUUGCUCUUCUUGAGGAAUAUCUUUGUGGUGUUCUCUGUAUUUCCUGAAUUUGAAUGUUGGCCUGUCUUGCUAGGUUGGGGAAGUUCUCCUGGAUAAUAUCCUAAAGAGUGUUUUCCAACUUGGUUCCAUUGUCCUCGUCACUUUCCGGUACACCAAUCAAACAUAGAUUUGGUCUUUUCACAGAGUCCCAUAUUUCAUCGAGGCUUUGUUCCUUUUCAUUCUUUUUUCUCUAAUCUUGUCUUCAUUCUUUAUUUCAUUAAGUUGAUCUUCAAUCUCUGAUAUCCUUUCUUCCACUUGAUUGAUUCAGCUAUUGAUACUUGUGUAUGCUUCACGACAUUCUUGUGCUGUGUUUUUGAGCUCCAUCAGGUCAUUUAUGUUCUUCUCUAAACUGGUUAUUCUAGUUUGCAAUUCCUCUAACCUUUUUUCAAGGUUCUUAGCUUCCUUGCAUUGUGUUAGAACAUGCUCCUUUAGCUCGGAGGAGUUAUUACCCACCUUCUGAAGCCCACUCCUUUCAAUUCAUCAAACUCAUUCUCCGUCCAGUUUUGUUCCUUUGCUGGCAAGGAGUUGUGAUCCUUUGGAGGAGAAGAGGCAUUCUGGUUUUUGGAAUUUUCAGCCUUUUGUGCUGGUUUUUCCUCAUCUUCCUGGGUUUGUCUACCUUUGCCCUUUGGUGUUGGUGACCUUCAGAUGGGGUUUUUGUGUGGACAUCCUUUUUGUUGAUGUUGAUGCUAUUCCCUUCUGUUUGUUAAUUUUCCUCUAACACUCAAGCCCCUCUGCUGAAAAACCUGCUUUCUUUAACUCACUACUAUCUUGGUAAAUUCUUUUACUGCCCACAACGCUGGCCCCAGUCAGUUGCAACCUAUGACAGGCACAUUUAAGGAAGCCCUGCCCAAGAAAAAUUUGUAUUGUUUCCUUGAAUCUCUUAAAGGAAAUCAAAGAGGAUUGAAGCAACAACCUUAAGUACCCUUUCCUCACUUUCCAUCUGUCGGUUACCCAAGGCCUUACCGGAAAAACUGAAACCAAAACAUUACCUUUAUCUCAGCCCAUGAAGCUUUCACUGUCUCCCCUCUUGUUCAGCUCUUCACUUACGUGUAGUCCCUACACAUCUUUCCAGAGGCUCUUACAAUGCUCCUUCUGUCUCUCUAAUCUAUUUCUGAUACAACAUCUAUUUUUUGAUCCAACAUCAAAAGUGCCAGAAGAACUUGUCUGGCAGAGAUAAACUCUCCUCAAGGGAGGGAAUGGAGAGAGGAAAAUUGAAAUGGCAAUGGCAGGCAUCUUUUAGAAAGAUCAGAGAAGAUGGGAAGUCAAGGACCACUCUCAUCAUAAUAAAUUGUAUCUUAUCACACAUUUGUUUCUUAGUGAAGCAUCCACUAUGAGAAGGGAAUGAAACAAUUCCCCUGAUUCUUCAUUCC
rnacentral:lncRNA from 1 species